rnacentral:rRNA from 1 species
AUUGAACGCUGGCGGCAUGCUUUACACAUGCAAGUCGAACGGUAACAGGCCGCAAGGUGCUGACGAGUGGCGAACGGGUGAGUAAUGCAUCGGAACGUGCCCAGUCGUGGGGGAUAACGCAGCGAAAGCUGCGCUAAUACCGCAUACGAUCUAUGGAUGAAAGCGGGGGACCGCAAGGCCUCGCGCGAUUGGAGCGGCCGAUGUCAGAUUAGGUAGUUGGUGGGGUAAAGGCUCACCAAGCCAACGAUCUGUAGCUGGUCUGAGAGGACGACCAGCCACACGGGGACUGAGACACGGCCCAGACUCCUACGGGAGGCAGCAGUGGGGAAUUUUGGACAAUGGGCGCAAGCCUGAUCCAGCAAUGCCGCGUGCAGGAAGAAGGCCUUCGGGUUGUAAACUGCUUUUGUACGGAACGAAACGGUCCUGGUUAAUACCUGGGGCUAAUGACGGUACCGUAAGAAUAAGCACCGGCUAACUACGUGCCAGCAGCCGCCGUAA